rnacentral:rRNA from 1 species
GACGAACGCUGGCGGCGUGCUUAACACAUGCAAGUCGAACGGCAAGGCCCUGCUUUUGUGGGGUGCUCGAGUGGCGAACGGGUGAGUAACACGUGAGUAACCUGCCCUUGACUUUGGGAUAACUUCAGGAAACUGGGGCUAAUACCGGAUAGGAGCUCCUGCUGCAUGGUGGGGGUUGGAAAGUUUCGGCGGUUGGGGAUGGACUCGCGGCUUAUCAGCUUGUUGGUGGGGUAGUGGCUUACCAAGGCUUUGACGGGUAGCCGGCCUGAGAGGGUGACCGGCCACAUUGGGACUGAGAUACGGCGCAGACGCCUACGGGAGGCAGCAGGGGGGAAUAUUGCACAAUGGGGGGAAGCCUGAUGCAGCAACGCCGCGUGCGGGAUGACGGCCUUCGGGUUGUAAACCGCUUUCGCCUGUGACGAAGCGUGAGUGACGGUAAUGGGUAAAGAAGCACCGGCUAACUACGUG